AAACCGUUUAGGGGUAAACCUGAGAAACCCGAAAGGUCGAAGGGAGAAAUUCAUUCGCGUUUCGCCGUUGGCGUGAGACGGUCGUGUGACGGAAAACGUUCGCGUUUUCCGCACCUUUCGUUUUUCGAUCCGAUAGCGAACGCGUGCACUUUUCUCCUGGUAGGACGUCGCGAUCCGUUGGGUGUCGGUCUACGGCUCGCGGUGGAGCCCGGAUGUACGGCUUGCCGUUACGUUCGGACCCGUGUGUCCCGGCUGACUCGCUCGACGGUAUACGAAAGGUUUAAGGCCGCUCUUUGAGCGUUCGGCUCGUCGCAAGCGCGUCAGAUGUGUCGGUAAUCGGACCUAGUGCCGGUUCUGACCUCUGGCGACUGUUGGCGGCGAAGUUCUCGAACAGACUUUUGACCGAUCUGCGACGCUAUAGCUUUGGGUACUUUCAGGACCCGUCUUGAAACACGGACCAAGGAGUCUAGCAUGUGCGCAAGUCAUUGGGAAUCACUAAACCUAAAGGCGCAAUGAAAGUAAAGGUCCGCCUUGCGCGGACUGAGGGAAGACGAGCGGUUUACCCUUAAAAGUGGCCGCUCCGCAUUCCCGGGGCGUCUCAUUCUCAUCGCGAGAAGAGGCGCACCAAGAGCGUACACGCUGGGACCCGAAAGAUGGUGAACUAUGCCUGGUCAGGACGAAGUCAGGGGAAACCCUGAUGGAGGUCCGUAGCGAUUCUGACGUGCAAAUCGAUCGUCGGAACUGG
rnacentral:rRNA from 1 species